UACGGAGGGUGCAAGCGUUAUCCGGAUUCACUGGGUUUAAAGGGCGCGUAGGCGGCGUGUCAAGUCAGGCGUGAAAGCCCCGGGCUCAACCUGGGAACCGCGCUUGAGACUGGCAUGCUCGAGUUCGGGAGAGGAUGGUGGAAUUCCCAGUGUAGAGGUGAAAUUCGUAGAUAUUGGGAAGAACACCGAUGGCGAAGGCAGCCAUCUGGACCGACACUGACGCUGAGGCGCGAAAGCGUGGGGAGCAAACAGG
rnacentral:rRNA from 1 species